GGAAGGGAAGCUAACCAGGAUUCCCCUAGUAACGGCGAGUGAAGAGGGAAAAGCCCAGCACCGAAGCCUGUGGCAAUUUUGCUAUUAGGCAAUGUGGUGUUUAGGUCGGCUCGUGGGAUCGCCACUCCACUCGAAAUCCAGCAUUGAGUAUGGUUCCCAGGAAUUGGCCCAUAGAGGGUGAAAGGCCCGUACGAGUGGAUGUGUCAGAUAUGUAAGGCGAUUCACCAGGCCGGCCUUAGAGUCGGGUUGUUUGCGAAUGCAGCCCAAAGCGGGUGGUAAACUCCAUCCAAGGCUAAAUACUAGCACGAGUCCGAUAGCGAACAAGUACCGUGAGGGAAAGUUGAAAAGUACUUUGAAGAGAGAGUAAACAGUACGUGAAACCGCAUAGAGGUAAACGGGUGGCGUCAAGCUGCAAGCCCAGAGAAUUCAGUCGGUCAGGGUUUAGUAUGCGCCCAGCGCAUCAAUCAGUCAGUGUACAGUUUGGCUAGUCCGCCGGAAAAUGGCGGGCCCAGUUGUUAAAGGCUGGGAUUUGUGUACCGGGAGGUUGCCGGUGCAAGCUAGCCGUCUGAUGGACUGCCUGGCCGAUGCACUUUCUCUGUACGGUGAACACCACGACCGGUGUAACUGCCAGUCUGCUGUAGCCAAUUUGAUGACAUGUCUCUGUCUUCUUGACUGGGGCGUGCUGUCAUCACAGACAAUUUGUGUGCACGGUGCUCGUGUGUUUCGCACAUACGAGCAUGUUAUCGGGUACCGAUUGUAAACAGGUCUUCUCAUCGACUUGUCUGUAGUCGCGGUUGAUGAGUGACCCGGUGGGCUACAGUGGUAUGAAUAACUGUGCAGGGCACUGAAGAUAUCGGUCCAACCAGCAGUGGUCGCUUGCGGCUGCUGUUGCCUACUGGACACGCACUACAGUUUGGCGUGUGCAUUGUUCGCCUUUGUUGUGAACAGUAGUACGGAUGGCGCUGCUUCGGCCUGCCAGUCGUUGGGUCUGAUUGACGUGUCGCCUGCCAAAAUGGCAGGUCCGUCAGUGGCCUGGCGUUGGAUGGUGCAUGUUGGCGGCGUUGUCAAUGUCCAGUGGGAAUGUUUUUGCGACCAAAUAGUCUGUGGUGUAGUGGUAGACGAGCUACCCGACCCGUCUUGAAACACGGACCAAGGAGUUUAACAUGCGCGCGAGUCAUUGGGUGUUACGAAACCCACAGGCGCAGUGAAAGUGAAGCUCCGAUAUAUAUUGUUCUCGGGGUGUGGUGAGAUCCUACUGUUUCUCGCAUACAUUGUCCAGCACUGGGCUAUUGAAAUGAGCAGUAGGCGCAUCACCGGCCCGUCCCAUGAUGUGGCUAUUUGUCGCGAUGCUUGUCAUUGCGCGAGUACGUCAUCGGGGCGGAGCAUGAGCGCGCAUGUUGAGACCCGAAAGAUGGUGAACUAUGCUUGCGUAGGUUGAAGCCAGAGGAAACUCUGGUGGAGGACCGCAGCGAUUCUGACGUGCAAAUCGAUCGUCAAACGUGAGUAUAGGGGCGAAAGACUAAUCCGAGCACCU
rnacentral:rRNA from 1 species